GUCUUAUUAGUUUAUGUAAAAUUUUAUAUUGUGGAUAUAGAGACACUGCAGUUGGUAUAAGGCA
rnacentral:tRNA from 1 species